rnacentral:misc_RNA from 1 species
GAUGAAGAACGCAGCGAAAUGCGAUAAGUAGUGUGAAUUGCAGAAUUCAGUGAAUCAUCGAAUCUUUGAACGCACAUUGCGCCCUUUGGUAUUCCAAAGGGCAUGCCUGUUCGAGCGUCAUUUGUACCCUCAAGCUUUGCUUGGUGUUGGGCGUCUUGUCUCUAGCUUUGCUGGAGACUCGCCUUAAAGUAAUUGGCAGCCGGCCUACUGGUUUCGGAGCGCAGCACAAGUCGCACUCUCUAUCAGCAAAGGUCUAGCAUCCAUUAAGCCUUUUUUUCAACUUUUGACCUCGGAUCAGGUAGGGAUACCCGCUGAACUUAAGCAUAUAAUAAGCGGAGGA